UACGGAGGGUGCGAGCGUUGUCCGGAAUCACUGGGCGUAAAGGGCGCGUAGGCGGCGCGGGUAGUCGUCGGUGAAAGCUCAGGCUCAACUCUGAGUCGGCCGGUGAUACUCCCGUGCUCGAGCACUGUAGAGGCAGGUGGAAUUCCGGGUGUAGCGGUGGGAAUGCGUAGAGAUCCGGAAGAACACCGGUGGCGAAGGCGGCCGGCUGGGCCGGGAUC
rnacentral:rRNA from 1 species